AUUGAACGCUUGCGGCAUGCCUUACACAUGCAAGUCGAACGGUAACAGGUCUUCGGAUGCGGACGAGUGGCGAACGGGUGAGUAAUACACCGGAACGUGCCUAGUAGUGGGGGAUAACUACUCGAACGAGUGUCUAAUACCGCAUGAGAUCUACGGAUGAAAGCAGAGGUUCGCAAUACCUUGUGCUACUAGAGCGGCCGAUGGCAGAUUAGGUAGUUGGUGGGAUAAAAGAUUACCAAGCCUACGAUCUGUAGCUGGGCUGAGAGGACGAUUAGCCACACUGGGACUGAGACACGACCCAGACUCCUACGAGAGGCAGCAGUGGGGAAUUUUGUAAAAUGGGCGCAAGCCUGAUCCAGCAAAGCCGCGUGAAGGAUGAAGGCCUUCGGAUUGUAAACUGCUUUUGUACGAAUCGAAAAACCCUGGGUUAAUACCCUGGGGUCAUGACGGUACCGUAAGAAUAAGCACCAGCUAACUACGUGCCAGCCGCCGCCGUAAUAC
rnacentral:rRNA from 1 species